rnacentral:lncRNA from 1 species
UCCAUAUGCAUUGAAUCUAAAGAGUUAUUUGAUCGAAUAAAAGUUCCACGCUUUGUUCUCGUAGUUUGUUAACGUUAAACCCCCUUAGAAGUUAGACCUAGUUGGCUAACCAUCUCCACUUGGCACAUAUUUUAAAACUCUAGUCUCCACUAACUGCACAGGUUAUGGUACUGCCACGUCUCCUAAUCACAUCCAUGUCGCUAAGGAUGAGCCCUCAUCUUACAAAAUACCCUUCAUUUUUCCUCCUUGUAGAAUUUACAAACACCUGCAAAAAUAUUGGCCAAAAAUAUUUGAGGAAUGAGAGGAUAAGACACUUGUGGAGACCUUGUGCUACAAACACUUCCAUUCAAAUCUAAGUCACCAUACAAAAAUCAUCCAACGGCUCACAUUCACUUAAAAAAGGCUAGGAGGAUAUAUUAUCCUUCUCACUUUGCUUCCCUCAUCUUAUUCACUCCCAACUAUUCCCUUUCAUACCGUUUUCCUGUGGAGAUUCAAACAAGCUUAAAAAUGGCUUCCUUGACAAUGGUCUUUCCCCCAGUGGUGACCGGCUGGGCAACUGGGCAAGUGUACGCUGCAACGGCGGCCAAGGGAGGAAGCAAAGAAGAGAAGGGUCUGCUUGAUUG